CAUAGUAAUUUGUCCUUUAAUUGGGGACUUGAAUGAAUGGGCCGACGCAAAACUCUCUUUUCCUUGGGCUUUAAAAAUUUAGAUUUAGGUUAAAAUUCCUAGAUAUACUUAAUAGACGAUAAGACCCUAUAAAAUUUUACCUCAUUACACCUAAUUAGUUAUUAAACUUAGUGGAGGUUUCGCUGGGACGGCUAAAAUAUAGUACCUAUUUUCACUUCAACAGUAAUAUGUGAAUUUUCUGACCCGUUAAAGAUUGAAGAUCUAAUU
rnacentral:rRNA from 1 species